rnacentral:rRNA from 1 species
GAUGAACGCUGGCGGCGUGCCUAAUACAUGCAAGUCGAGCGAACAGACGAGGAGCUUGCUCCUCUGACGUUAGCGGCGGACGGGUGAGUAACACGUGGAUAACCUACCUAUAAGACUGGGAUAACUUCGGGAAACCGGAGCUAAUACCGGAUAAUAUAUUGAACCGCAUGGUUCAAUAGUGAAAGACGGUUUUGCUGUCACUUAUAGAUGGAUCCGCGCCGCAUUAGCUAGUUGGUAAGGUAACGGCUUACCAAGGCAACGAUGCGUAGCCGACCUGAGAGGGUGAUCGGCCACACGGGAACUGAGACACGGGCCAGACUCCUACGGGAGGCAGCAGUGGGGAAUCUUCGGCAAUGGGCGAAAGCCUGACGGAGCAACGCCGCGUGAGUGAUGAAGGUAUUCGGAUCGUAAAGCUCUGUUAUUAGGGAAGAACAAAUGUGUAAGUAACUAUGCACGUCUUGACGGUACCUAAUCAGAAAGCAACGGCUAACUACGUG